CCCACCUGAUGAAGUCAGCAGGUGAAGCCACUCAUGAGUUCCUAGACCAGUAAUUGAGGGACCACUAUAGCUAAGCCUAGUUUUACUGCCUGGGCAACGUAUUUUCUGAAUGCUGCAUGGAAAAAGCCCGUGAAUUGAGGAGUUUGUAAGUAGACAAUCUCUAACUUAACCAAACUUGUGCUGUUUUUCUAAGCUUUGGGGGAAAGGGAAGUUUUGGAACUCGCAAGGCGUAAUUUUAAAGGUCUUAUAUUUUCAUGCUGUGGUUUGCUGCAUGUUUUCUGAUUUAAAAUUUCUGCUGGGGUUUUCUCACCCAGGAAUACUUUCUUGAAACCUGGACUGUGGCACCCAGGAAGGCAUGUGUGUGUGGUGUGUUGUGUUGCGUUGCAUUGUGUUGUGUUGUAGUGGGUGCAAUCUCUUGUUAUCAGGCCUAGUGGUACGCAGCCAGCAUGUCAAUACUUGUGGAUGGCAAGAGUUGUAGUUUGACAACAUUUGUAGGCUCCAUGCUAGUAACCCUUGGCCCAUUCACAAUGGUAGAUGGUACAGUUGUCCAUUUAACUGGAGAUCCUGGAAAUUGAACCUAGUAGCCUCUGCUUGAAACAUUUAUUUUUCUGCCGCUGGUCUUGGUCUUCAGAGAAAGACAGUCGUGUGGCCUACAGAACAGUGAAACAGUCUGAAAGAUUCAAAAGCAUAACAAGAUCUGUGGGAUGGGCUACUGCAUUCAGUUUAGGUUUCUUCCCCACCCCCUCCAAUGGCAUAAAACAGGGGUUAGCAAACUUUUUCAGCAGGGAGCCAGUCCACUGUCCCUCAGACCUUGUGGGGGGGCGGACUAUAUUUUGAAAAUAAAAAAAUGAAUGGAUUUCUAUGCCCCACAAAUAACCCUGGAGUGUAUGCCCCAAAUAAUAACAAAUCCGAAUUUUACAGGAAAUUGGAAGAGAAGCUUUGGGAAUUCGAGAAUGGAAAGAUAAUUUUGAUGGGAGAUUUGAAUGGAGUUGUAUCGAUUGAAAUGGAUAACCCAGAGAUGCAUUUUAAAUAAAAGCACACAUUCUACUCAUGUAAAAACACCAGGCAGGCCCCACAAAUAACCCAGAGAUGCAUUUUAAAUAAAAGGACACAUUCUACUCAUGUAAAAACAUGCUGAUUCCCAGACCAUCCGCGGGCCGGAUUUAGAAGGUGAUUGGGCCGGAUCCGGCCCCCGGGCCUUAGUUUGCCUACCCAUGGCAUAAAAUAUGGCUAUCGUUUUCUUAGAUAGGCUUCGUUAAAGUGUUACUGUCUCAUUUUUAAAACUUUGGCCUUGUGGAGAGCAUAUUUCAUUGCUAUGAUUUCCCUAAAGCAUGAAAAUGUUAUAUAGCAACAUUCCUAGAAGUUAUACGGCUUCUUGGAAUUCCAGUCCUGUAAAAUGGGGCCUUGGUUGUUCUAGUAUUUGUGGGGGUCGCUGCCAGGAAUUGUAAAAGUUCAGAACUUCAUGCUAGUAGCCUGAUGUUGAGAAUUGCUGAGGUCACAUUGUACUGAAUUAACUGGAAAUGUGUGUGUGUGUGUGUGUGUGUGUGUGUGUGUGUGUGUUGUACUGGCCAUUCAGAAAAGGAUAAUAGCCAACUUGUUCAGGAAAAAGCUCUUCAAACCAGUGGCCACAAUGCAGAGUUAAAAUAAAUAAGUUUAAGUUUACUGUGAUUACAUUUGAGGAAAUGUAGCCUCAAAUAUCGUAAUACAGCUUUAGCAAUAAAACAACCUUUUUUAAAAAAAGAAAUAAAUGAAGAAAAUGCAGCUCUGAAUCACCCCUGUGAAUUUAUCAUAAUACACACAUAUUUUGUGUGGUUUUCCCCCCCUAAAAUAUAUGCAUUCAUAUGCGUUUUGUAUAUGCAUUUUUGUACACAUUACUUGGCUGGAGAACCACACUGCAAAUGUCAGAGGUGGCUCAAUUGGUUAGAACGUAGUGCUGAUAACGCCAAGACUGCAGAAUUGGUCCCCGUAUGGGACAGCUGCAUAGUCCUGCAUUGCAGGGGGUUGGACUAGAUGAUCGUGAGAGUUCCUUCCAACUCUACAAUUCUAUAACUCUAAGUGACAAUUUUAAGUAAGAACUGGCCCCUGAGCAAGGGUGGAUGGAUCUGUCAGUUUUGGUUCUCCAUUUCUCGUUCAUUUAUUUCCUCCUCCCUCCUGAUACAUUUACUUUCUAUGCUGCAUCUUUUAGACCAGUGACAGCCAAACUUGGCCCUCCAGCUGUUUUGGGACUACAGUUCCCAUCAUCCCUGACCACUGGUCCUGUUAGCUAGGGAUGAUGGGAGUUGUAGUCCCAAAACAGCUGGCGGGCCAAGUUUGGCCAUCACUGUUUUAGACUGAAAGCAGGAACUGUCUUGUUUUUAUUGAUCUGCAAGUGGCUUUGGGGGCGGUGCUGUACAGCAGAUUAACAAUUAGAUGGCUAACAGAAUCUUCCAAGUUAUGCCUGGGCAGUCCAUUUGUUUGCAAAGCUCAUUGGAUGAUCACUGUCUCCUAUCACACAAAAUCCCUAAAGUGGAAAUCUCAUGUAUGUUGCUGCUCUGAAUAUCUUGGCAGAAGGGCAGGGCACUCACAUAACAAACAAACAAACAUUAAUGGAUUAAUUGAUGGUUUUGCUGAGCUUCCGCAGGGUUAACUACCGCUAGCGCAGCUCUGGAAAGCCGCCAGUGAUUCCUUUGAAUUCAAUUACUAACCAUUUGCUGUUGCCAUAUAUCUAUUUCUCAUAAAGCACCUUUGCUUAAUGAUGUGAGCAGUCACCAGAUGGUAUGUUGAUAUUUCAAAUAUUUUGGCAAUCGGACAAGAUAGUUGGCCUUCUAAGUGCCUUUAAUGCAGAGACGGGGGACCUGGAGUUGUCUUAAGAAGUUGCUGGACUAAAACUCCCACCAGCCUCAGCCAACAUGGAAAAUAAGAAGACAUGCUGGGAAUUGUAGUCCAACAUUAUAGAAGGAGGGACACAGGUUCCCUAUCCCUGUUUUAAUGGCUUUGAUGGAAUCCUGACCUUAAGGGAUGGUGGUGUCAUGGAAAUGCAGCUUCUCCAAGGUAGGAUUUCACUUACCUUAAAUAAUAAUAAUUAUUAUAAUUUAUUAUUUAUACCCCGCUCAUCUGGCUGGGUUUCCCAAGCCACUCUGGGCGGCUUCCAACAGAAUAUUAAAAUACAAUAACCUAUUAAACAUUAAAAGCUUCCCUAAGCAGGGCUGCCUUCAGAUGUCUUCUAAAAGUCUGGUUGUUGUUUUUCUCUUUGACAUCUGGUGGGAGGGCGUUCUACAGGGCGGGUGCCACUACUGAGAAGGCCCUCUGCCUGGUUCCCUGUAACUUGGCUUCUCGCAGCAAGGGAACCACCAGAAGGCCCUUGGCACUGGACCUUGUCAGAACGAUGGGGGUGGAGAUGCUCCUUCAGGUAUACUGGACCGAGGCCGUUUAGGGCUUUAAAGGUCAGCACCAACACUUUGAAUUGUGCUUGGAAAUGUCCUGGGAGCCAGUGUAGGUCUUUCAAGACGGUGUUAUAUGGUCUCGGCGGCUGCUCCCAGUGACCAGUCUAGCUGCCACAUUCUAGAUUAGUUGUGGUUUCCGGGUCACCUUCAAAGGUAGCCCCACAUAGAGUGCAUUGCAGUAGUCCAAGUGAGAGAUAACUAGAGCAUGCACCACUCUGGCAAGACAGUCCGCGGGCAGAUAGGGUCUCAGCCUGCGUUCCAGAUGGAGCUGGUAGACAGCUGCCCUGGACACAGAAUUGACCUGAGCCUCCAUGGACAGCUGUGAGUCCAGAAUGACUCCCAGGCCGUGCACCUGGCAAGACCACUGAUAAAAGAGUACCUAUGAAGGAUGCCUUGCUGUUUAUUUAUUGAAUGAAUUCUGCUGCAGUAGUACAGGACCUCUGGGUCAAAACCCAAAACCCCGACUGUCUCAGGAGACAAUGGAGGAGUGAUGCCUUUGGGAGGGUUGGAAGGUUGCAGUGCCUGCUGUGGCUGUAGGGAACCAAUGCAAGAGAGACCUGUUUUGUUGCAGCUGGGGCAGAUGAAGGUGUCCGGUUGCGUUGCUGCAGAUGCGCCAUGCCAUUUCUUUUUUUUUUUUUUUAAAGCAAUUUAUUGGGUUUUACAAUAAAUAUAAACAUAAUAAACAAUGUAACAUUUGUCAUAACAUAGUUUCACAUUUUCUUUGGACUUCCUCACAUCCCCCGCUCCCACUUUCAUCGUUAUAACAUUUUGUCAGCAAUUUAUCAUCUUAUUUAAAUUCUUAUAUCUCUUCAAUGUUUCAUAAUCUUAUAGUUCUCAUAAAGAGUUAAACUUUCACAGUCUUACUUGUUUUCUUAAAAACUUCUAAGUUAAGUGGUGCUCAGUUAUUUAGUCUAGCAUCUUAUUUAGCAUUCACUCAAAUCCCAAUAUUUUUGUAGAUAGUUCUUAAAUUUCUUCCAAUCCUCCUCGAUUCUCUCUUCUCCCAGGUCACGGAUUCUGCCGGUCAUUUCAGCCAGUUCCAUGUAGUCUAUCAGUUGCAUCUGCCAUUCUUCCAGUGUGGGUAAAUCUUGAGUUUUCCAAUGUUUUGCAAGAAGUAUCCUUGCUGCUGUUGUUGCAUACAUAAAAAUGUCUGGUCCUUCUUUGCCACCCCUUGGCUGACAAUGCCCAGAAGGAAAGCCUCUGGUUUCUUGGUAAAGGUAUAUUUAAAUACCUUUUUCAAUUCAUUAUAAAUCAUUUCCCAGAACGCCUUCACUUUAGGGCAGGUCCACCAGAGGUGGAAGAACGUUCCCUCGCACUCUUUACAUUUCCAACACUUAUUAUCAGACAGGUGGUAAAUUUUUGCAAGUUUAACUGGGGUCAUAUACCAUCUAUAAAUCAUUUUCAUUACAUUUUCUUUCAGAGCGUUACAUGCAGUAAAUUUCAAUCCAUUACUCCACAACUUUUCCCAGUCCUCAAACAUAAUAUUAUACCCAAUGUCCUGUGCCCACCUUAUCAUAGCCGAUUUAACCAUUUCAUCUUGUGUAUUCCAUUCCAACAGCAAGUUAUACAUCCUUGAAAGUACCUUAGUCUUUGGUUCUAACAAUUCUGUUUCUAAUUUCGAUUUCUCCACCUGGAACCCUAGUUUCUUAUCAUUUUUAAAAACUUCUUUAAUCUGAGCGUAAUGUAACCAAUCUCGCACUUUGUCUUUCAUUUUCUCCAAACUCUGCAAUUUCCAAUUGUCUCCAUCUUUUCUAGUAUUUCCCAAUAUUUUGGCCAUUUAGCCUCCAUAUUGGGUCUUUUCGGGCCUUAGCUUCCAAAGGUGAAAGCCACCUUGGUGUUUUAUUUUCCAGCAAGUCUUUAUAUUUUGUCCAGACAUUAUACAGUGAUUUUCUGACAAUAUGGUUCUUAAAGGCCUUAUUUGCUUUAACUUUGUCAUACCAUAGAUAUGCAUGCCAUCCAAAAACAUUAUUAAACCCUUCCAAGUCCAACACAUCAGUGUCUUCAAGAAGUAGCCAGUCUUUUAGCCAGCAGAACGCUGCGGCUUCAUAAUACAACUUUAAGUCCGGCAGGGCAAAGCCCCUCUUUGUUUUACAUCAGUUAAUAUCUUAAACUUGAUUCUGGGCUUUUGCCCUGCCAGACAAACUUCAAAUAUCUCUCUGCCACUUCUGAAAGCACUCCGUUUUGUCCAAAACUUGAAGUGUUUGAAAUAAAAACAACAUCCUUGGCAAUACAUUCAUCUUAAUAGCAGCAAUUCGGCCUAACAAAGAAAGUUUCAAUUUUGACCAACUGUCUAAGUCUCUCUUAAUUUCUGCCCAACAUUUUUCAUAGUUAUCCUUAAAUAGACUUAGAUUUUUUGCUGUUAUGUUUACCCCUAGGUAUUUUACUUUUUAACCACAUUAAGUUCCGUCUCAUUCUGAAACCGUUCUGACUCUGUAUCAGUCAAAUUUUUCCCCAAAACCUUAGUUUUCUGUUUAUUUAAUUUAAAUCCCGCCACCCGACCAAAAUCAUUAAUCAAUUGUAAUACUCUUUUCGUACUGGGCUCUGGCUUCUGCAAGGUCAAAACCAGGUCAUCUGCAAAAGCUUUUAGUUUAUAUUGUUUCUGACCAACCUGAAUUCCUUCCACCAACCGGUCCCCUCUAAUCAUGUUCAGUAGCACUUCCAGAACCGAAAUAAAUAACAAAGGGGAAAUAGGGCAACCUUGUCGUGUCCCUUUUUCAAUUUUAAACUCUUCUGUGACCACAUUAUUAACUAUCAGUUUAGCUUUCUGUUCUGAAUAUAUCGCCUCAAUCCCAUUCUCAAAACCCCGUCCCACUCCCAUCUCUUUUAAAUUUCCCAUCAUAAAUUUCCAGGAAAUAUUGUCAAAGGCCUUCUCCGCAUCUAUGAAAAUUAAAACUGCUUUUGUGUUUAUAUCUGUUUGCAGAAGUUCCAAAAUGUCAAUAAUGUUCCUUGUGUUAGCAAACAGAUGUCUACCUGGGAGAAAACCGGCCUGGUCCUUAUGAAUUACUUCAUUUAAUACUUUUUUAAAUCUACUUGCCAAAAUAUCUGCAAAUAUUUUGUAAUCCACAUUUAAAAGAGAGAUGGGACGGUAGUUCUUCAGUUGUGUCUUUUCAGCUUCUGACUUUGGUAUUAAUGUGAUGAACGCUUCCUUCCACGAAUCCGGUGCCCUCUCCCCUCAAUAAUUUCAUUGCUGACCUCCAUCAAGGGUUGUAUCAAAUAGUCUUUUAAUAUCUUAUAAUACUUGGAGGUCAGCCCAUCUGGCCCUGGAGAUUUGCCAAGUUGCAUGUUCUGAAUAGCUUGUUCAAUCUCCUGUCGUGUAAUUUUAGAGUUCAGGAUUGUCCUGUUUUCUUGUGACAAUUUAGAUAGUACAUUUUUUGCCAAAAAUUGUUUAAUCUCAACUUCGUCUUGCGGCCCUUGGGUGUAUAAUUUUUUAAAAUAUCUCUGGAAACACUUUCUAAUAUCCACUGGAUUCUGAAUGUUUUUUCCAUCAACCUCUAAGUUUGUAACCGUGUUUAAUCUUUGUCUUCUCUUCAACUGCCAAGCUAGCAGUUUUCCACAUUUAUUCGCCGACUCAAACGUUUUUUGUUUCAUUAAUUUAACCUUCCAUUCAAUUUCCUGAUUUAUCAGUUUAGAAUAUUGUGUUUGAUAGAGUUUAAUUUCUCUCAGAGUUGGCUGUGACUUUGGGUUCGCUCUUAAUUUCUUCUCUAAUUCUUUUAAUUUGUCCAAAAUCUUAUCUUUUUUCUCAUUUUGUGUUCUUUUCUUUACUACAUUCUGCUGUAUCAAGAAUCCCCUCAUUACAGCUUUGCUUGCGUCCCAGACAAUUCUUUUUUCCACCGAAUUGUUCAUGUUUAUCUCAAAAUAGUCCUUCAAAACUUUUUGGGCCUUCUUGGUAAUUUCCUGAUCUCUAAACAAAUUGUCAUUCAUCUUCCAUCUAAAGGAUCCAGUUGGUAGUAGUGUCAUAUCCAUCUUUACUGCAUUAUGGUCAGAACAGGUCUUUGGGCAGAUUUCCACUUUUCUGACCUUAGGUGCCAGGCCUCUGGAAAUCCAUAUUUGGUCGAUUCUUGUCCAGGUCAGUUGGGCUUCAGAAAAGAAUGUUCCUUCUCUACCUAGUGGGUUCUUUGUCCUCCAAAUGUCAAUCAAAUCCAUAUUGUCAGUCAUUUCAAAAAAGUUUUAGGUAGUCUGCCGUCUUUUGUAACAUUUUGACUUUGUGACUUGUCCAUGUUAGUUGACACGACCCCGUUCAUGUCUCCCAUCAUUAUGAUGUUGUUGUAAUCCAGAUAUUCCAGCAUUGUCCCCUGCAGCUUCUUGUAAAAUUCCGAUUUCCCUUCGUUAGGUGCAUAGAUUCCUAAUAUCAACAGUUUCUCUCCUUGAUAUUGUAUCUCAAUGGCCAAAAUUCUUCCAUGUUCAUCUUUAAAUAAGAAUUUAGGUGACAGGCUCUCUUUUGCAUAUAUCACCACGCCUCUCUUCUUAACUUUGUCCGACGAAACAAAUUCCUGGCCCAAUCUUUUAUUUAUUAACACUUUUCUGUGGAGCCUCGUCACAUGUGUUUCUUGUAAACAGAUAAUGUCCAAUUGUUCUUUUUUAAUAUAUGAAAUAUUUUCUUCCUUUUUCCGGAAUGUUACAACCAUUAAUGUUCCAACUCAGCAAUUGCAGAGACAUCCUGGAUCUAUCUGGUUAUUUCUCCAGGGGUGGUGUCUUCUCUCGAUCUUCAGGUUCCCCAGGUGCUGGUGUUGAUACUGGCUUUGCCCCAGGCCCAGAGGGUAAUUCAAUUCCUUUUUGAAGGUCCUCUCCGUAUGUAGCCAAAAAUUUGUCUCUCUCUUCCAGUGUUCUAACUUUGACCUUUCUCCCUUUAAAGGUAAAAGAUAUUCCUUGUGGAAAUUCCCACCUGAAUGGAAUUGCGUUGCUCCUUAGUAGUUUAGCAAGUUCAGAAUAAGCGGCUCUAAGAUCCAGCAGUUGUCUUGGAAUAUCUUUAUAAAUUUCAAUUCUUCUGUCCAAAACCUCCAGUGACUUUCCGUAAUGUAGGCCCAAAAUCUUAUCCCUUUCCUCCUUUGAUCUCAAUGUAAUCAAACAGUCUCUGGGCCUCUCCUUCUUUGUGAAUCUUCCAAGUCUGAAAGCCGACACAAUUUUAAAAUCCUUUUCUUCCAAAUUCCAGAACUUGGAAAAUUCUUUGGUCAAAAACUCAGUUAAAUUUCCUUCUUCUGCCUCUUGUAAUGAUCUAAUCCUCAGAUUAUUCUCACGAUUUCGCAGUUCUAUCAUGGAAAGAUAAGUCUGAUGUUCCCCAACUUGUUUGGUGAGUGGUCUUACCUCUUGCUCUAAAUUUUCCAAUUUUUGUCUAGUAUCCUCAGCUAAUUUCCGAUUUUCUGCUGAGGCCUCCGUUAACUGUCCAAUUGCUUGUGUAUUCUGUACAACUUGUAUGGUUAAUUUAUUUAGACAUUCUGUAUUUUUGUCAAUCUUUGCUGAUUGCGCAUCUACUUUCUUGUCCAAAGCUUCCAAUUUUUCAAAGAUUUUGUCUAGAACAGAAACAGAUACUCCUGAGGCCAUAUCUUCCAAUUGCAACUGCUCUGCUUCACCCUCUCCCUCUUUUGCCUGUGGCAAGGCAACUUCUUCAAGUUCUACUUCUGAGGGCAAAGUAGGUACAGAUGAUCUACGUGUCUGCGAGGCUGAGGUUAGAGUUGUUAAAGUUGUUUGUCUAACUCUCCUCUUUUCCUUGUGCCACUCAUUCCAACGUUGUCUAUCAGUCAAGGUCACACUGAGUUUUUCCCAUGGGAAUAGAAAGGCCCAGAGCAAGCAAACAACAAGGGAAUCGAAAGUAAAUGUAAAUGUAAAGUCACUGUUCUCAUCCAAUCCUCUAGAGGGAGCUUAAAAUGUCUUUCAGAGUCUAAUUUAAUGUCCAAGAGCCUUCAAAUAUAAAUAUUUAGCAGAGUUUAUAAGUAGUCACUUUGUUACAGACAGUGCUUAUUUAUCUCCAAAAGAAAAAAAUUGUUUCAAAUUUAAAAAGUCUCAAUACCCUCAGAUUGUUGCAAGUUCCAAUAUACAGUAUCCAAAUCUGCAAUACUGACAGCUCAAUUUCUCAAUGCUCAGGCAGCUCCUGACUCUGGGUUUCACCUUCUAAUUUGUAAUCCAAUAAAAGGGGGAAAGUCAAGUGCAAGUUAAAAUUCCAAGUCUUUAGCUUAAAGUCUUUACUUUAAAUUGCAGGUUCAGUAGAUGCUUAGAUCUGUAAAGUUUAAAAUCUCUUUCUUUCAGCCUCCACUCCUCCAACUUAGUUGCUUUUUUCAAGUUCAAUGGCUGCGGAAGACGGACUUCCUGUUUCCACGUCUCUCCGCUUUCAGCCAAGUUCAAGCCAAUUUAAGAUUUUUUCAUAUAAAGUCUCUGAUUUCAAGUGAUUCAGUCUUUACUCACGAGUGAGUUGCUUUUCGUCCGAAUCCGUGUUUUAGCAGGAAAAAGGAUCAGCGCUCACCGGCAGCAGCAGCGCGGCUUCACUCCGCAGACUGUGAAGCAGCUCUCAGCGCCGCAACCCCCCUCCACGCUCCGGAGCCCCUUACGAGGUUCCUUCUGCGUUUGGAGGGUCACUUAAGGCGCCCACCGAGCCUCAGGACCCCAAGCUCUUACUGCCUGGGGUUUUCCGGAGUGGGUCUCCGCUUCGCCGUAGCGGACGACCCGUUUUCUGCGGAGCCUCCUCUCCCGUUCAGAAGAGGACCGCCAUUGCCGUUCGCGCCGCCCCUCGGAAGUCCUCGCGCCAUGCCAUUUCUUCUCUCUGCGUUCCUCCCAGUGGUAAUUCAUCCUCUCAUCACUCAACUGACAGAUCAGUUGUAAAUGUGGACUCAAAGUCAGGUCCUUGUGUUUGGGGCGGGCGUUCAUUUUGGAGUUUGGGCAGCUUGCGGUAUGUGUGAGGAGGUUGUAAGGAGGAGGCUGGUAUGACACAGUUUCUGAAUUUUCAAAUUGGGCCAGGGAGGGGGAGCUAUUUUGAGAUAUAGAUAGAUAAAGGUAAAGGGACCCCUGACCAUUAGGUCCAGUCGUGACCGACUCUGGGGUUGUGGUGCUCGUCUCGCUUUAUUGGCUGAGGGAGCCAACGUACAGCUUCCGGGUCAUGUGGCCAGCAUGACUAAGCCACUUCUGGCGAACCAGAGCAGCACACAGAAACGCUGUUUACCUUCCCGCCGGAGUGGUACCUAUUUAUCUACUUGCACUUUGACAUGCUUUUGAACUGCUAGGUUGGCAGGAGAAGGGACCAAGCAACGGGAGCUCACCCCAUCACGGGGAUUCGAACCGCUGACCUUCUGAUCGGCAAGUACCAUUUGGAUUUGUGUCAUGUGUGCUAGGAAUUCGUGGAAAGGCAAAUCUGUGGUGAAUGUUAAAUGCAAGCUUGUGCAUUUAAAAAGCACUAGGCAGCUUUCCUAUGAUCCUGUGGCUUAAAAUAGUGCCGACUGCUUGAAGGAUUGUUGCUGGGCUCUAUAAAAGAGACAAAUAAUCACAAUGGAAUUGAUUUGUGAACUACGGUCUGGUAUAGUGGCUAAAUGCUCUAAGAAGAAAGAGAUAAAAGAGAGGAAGAAAGGGGGCUUUUAUGGGGACAUCUGCUUUUUGCAUUUUUAAGAUUCAAAGCACAAAUACAGGCAUGCCAUUGAAAUGAGUACUGUACAUACUAAUUCAGCUUACAGUCCUGUUGUAAAAAGUGAAUCGCUUCAAGUUCAGAUGCAGCGUAGCUCUAUGUAUCAGAGUGUACCAGUGUGGUGUAGUACCAGUGUGGUGUAGUGGUUAAGAGCGGUAGAUUCGUAAUCUGGUGAACCAGGUUUGCGUCCCCACUCCUCCACAUGCAGCUGCUGGGUGACCUUGGGCUAGUCACACUUCUCUGAAGUCUCUCAGCCCCACUCACCUCACAGAGUGUUUGUUGUGGGGGAGGAAGGGAAAGGAGAUUGCUAGCCGCUUUGAGACUCCUUCGGGUAGUGAUAAAGCAGGAUAUCAAAUCCAAACUACUCUUCUUCUUCUUCUUCUUCUUCUUCUUCUUCUUCUUCUUCUCUGUGCACCAGGUGGGGCAAACAACAGACACAGGAUGGAAUAUUGGUGGCCCUCCAUAAGUUGCUGGACUACAGCUCCUAUCAUUCAUUACUGCUGGCCAUGGUGGCUGAGGCUGAUGGGAGAUGGAAUGUCAUGAGUUCCCCACCUGGAGGCUCACCUGUUCCCUUAUCCCUCAAUUUCCCCCAGAGGAAAGUAGGCUUUUCCAAAUCUUCAAGACUUUGUUUUGUAAUGGAGCAAUAUCAAAAGUCAACACAUGUUCAGUGCUGUUUCUUGCACAUCCAUUCCUAAUUCUCCCUUUCAAAUGGCUAUUGAUUGUGCACCCCCAGGGACACGGGUGGCGCUGUGGGCUAAACCACAGUAUGGGGACUGAUAUGUAAAUCUGGGGACCGUCCCCAGGAAACAGGGACGCCUGGUAACCUUAAACCAGAGGCACCACUGUAAUAAACCAGCAUUGGAUAGGGUUGCCAAAAAGUGUAAAAGCAGGACAUCUCAAAAGUUGUUGAGCUUGCAUAAGAUCCAGGACAAAGCGCCACCUUUCGGAAAUCCCCCCCCCCCCGGACAUGAAUUCCGCCUUUGAAAUCCCGGUAAUGUUCAGGAAAAUCCAGACGUAUGGCAGCCCUAUUGUUUACAGGUUUAGGACAUAGGAAGCUAGCCUUUCAGUGCUUCUCAAACUUGGUCUCCAGCUGUUGUUGGACUACAACUCCCAUCAUCCUUCACUAGCAAGACCAGUGGUCAGGGGUGAUGGGAGUUGUAGUCCAACAGCAGCUGGAGACCCAAGUUUGACAAACACUGUAAUUAGUCUACCCAGCCCAGUAUUCUUAACACUUCCUGCAGCGGGGUCAUAAAUUCAGAUUAGGUUGUUGGUUGUAUACCUUCAAAUCUUGCGGAAAGUACUUUUCAACCUUCUCCUCUCGCCUUCACCUUAGAGGUGGCAAAUGAUCCUUUCAUAUAUUUAGCGCAGAUUUCUUUCUCCGUUAUCUGACCGUUGCAGCGAGGAAAUGGCAUGCCUCUUGUUACGGUAGUGGCUGCGAGCUGUCAUAAAAUGGCACGCUAAUUAUUCUGACGCCUGUACUGGAGCACCUCUGCAAAUGAGUUCCACCUUACAGGCCCUUCCAGCAUUGCCUUGACCUAUCGCUUUCAAAUUAACUAUCCAUAUUCCUCGUUCUCAGUUCCCAGAUUGCCCGCACGCAUUACAUCACCCCGAGUCCAGUUACAAUCGGAUGCCAGAACUGCAGCUGGGAAACACCAAAGGUGGGGAUUGCAGAAUAAGCCAACGCCUCAACGUUAGGCUUUGACCAGAUUUUAAGAUAACAUACACCGCCUCAAACAGGGCAAUGGCUCCCUGUUUAUUUCCCUCUUGCAGACGGCGCUUUGAACACCCAGAGGCCGGCAGCCUCAUCAGCGCCAAGUGGUCAAUGAUUUAUUAAAAGCUGAGCUGCAGCAUAAUUGUGCUCACCAUGUGGCUAAUAAGCAGCCGCUUGGAAAGAAAGCUGGAGGGGGGGACGGAUGGACCAGGGACUUUUCUUGGGAUAGUUUCAAUGCAGCCAUCGGCGUGUUUCAAUGCAGCCAAAGCAGGCACACACACACACACACACUCUUAAUGGGUUGAAGUGUGCCUUGAAUGUUAAACAGACAGGAACCUGGCACCUUCUGAGUCGGUAUAAUUUCAUGGGGCAGAAGAAGAAUAUAUUAAUGCUAAAAUAGCUAUGUGUGAGUGAGAGAGAAAGGAGAGAGAGAGAGAAAGUACUUUUAAUAUUAUAAUUUGGAAGGCCUUUGAGUGCACCAUUUGCAAAUCUGACAUAGACCAGAAAUGGAGUGGCUUUUCCAUUCUUGUCACGGAGCUCAACAGUCAGAGCCAGAUCAUCAUAAUAGUAGUAAUAAUAAUAAUAAGUAGUAAUAAUAUUAAUUAAUUAAUUAAUUAUACCCCACUCAUCUUGGCUGGGUUUCCCCAGCCACUCUGAGCGGCUUCCAAGGGAAUAUUAAAAACGCGAUAAAACAUCAAACAUUAAAAACUUCCCUAAGCAGGGCUGCCUUCAGAUGCCUUCUAAAAGUCAGAUAGUUGUUUAUUUCCUUGACAUCUGGUGGGAGGGUGUUCCACUGGGAGGGCGCCACUACCAAGAAGGCCCUCUUCCUGGUUCCCUGUAACCUCACUUCUCGCAGGGAGGGAACCGCCAGAAGGUCCUCGGAGCUGGACCUCAGUGUCUGGGCAGAACGAUGGGGGUGAAGACGUUCCUUCAGGUAUAUUGAGCCGAGGCCGUUUAGGGCUUUAAAGGUCAGCACCGACACUUUGAAUUGUGCUCGGAAGCAUCCUGGGAGCCAAUGUAGGUCUUUUGGGACCAGUGUUAUAUGGUCUUGGCAGCCACUCCCAGUCACCAGUCUAGCUUCCACAUUCUGGAUUUGUUGUAGUAGUUGUAGUAACUGCUGAGGUCUCCUCAAAGAUGGGUCCCCACAAAGCUAGAUGACCCAUCCACUUUAGUUCCACAUCUACUGUUUGGUUGCAAGGCCUGUUGCCCUGGGAACCAGGGUCAUGUGCAUAACUAAGUGACUGAUUCUCUGUAACAAAAAUUAGUUUAAAAUCCUGAACUAAUCUGUAAGGUGGGGGCUUUGGUUUUGUGUGUGUGUGAAAAUUAUUAUGUACUGGAAUUCCAUACGAAAUUUGUGGAUUUUUUAAUUUCUUGAAAUAAUACAACUAUCUCUAAUUAUUCCUGUUGCUCACAAUACGAAUCCUACUCACAAAUUCAUCGUAUUGUAACAGUUCUUUAAACAGCCUAAAAAAGCCUUUCAUUCGUCCAUAAAACAGUAGUUAUUAAAUUCUCUUAUUUCAGUUGUUAGCUUUGCUGAAUCAACAUUGUCCAUCACCUUGCUUAUCCUUUCUUUUUUAGUGAAUAGAGAAUCCUGGCUGCUGUAGUUCCAUACAUAAACAACUUAACCAUCUUUUUAGGAACUUUUGACCCUAUAAUCCCUAGAAGAAAAGCUUAAGGUGUUUGUGUGUGUGUAAUCACUUUAAGCCUUUUUUUAUCUCAUCAUAUAUCAUUUCCCAAAAUCCCCUUGCUUUCUUACAGUUCCACCACAUAAAAAAAGGACCACUUGUUUGUUUGCACUUCCAGCAGUUAUUAGGAACCUUCUUAUACAUUUUGGAUAAUUUAUCAGGUGUUCAAUAGCACCUACGCAGGGGUGGAAUCCUUUGUUUUCCCUCUUGUACAAUUUUUCCUGCAAAGGAAUAUUUGCAUGAUGAAGCUGCUUCAGUGAAAAUAUUCCCAAACCACCUGGAAUUAUCAGAGACACAAUUGUUCUAUCUCCUUGACUAGAAAUACCUGAGAUUUACUGAGCUGUCAUCUUGGAUGAGUCAUCUUGGAUCAAUCAUCUUGGGACAUUUUCAGGAAACCACUUCAGAACAAAGAGCACCAUGGAGAGAUUAUCUUUCGUUUAAUCUUUGUUUUGCAGGCGUUUGCUUGGCCCAGAGCUCAUUCUUCUGGCAGAAUCUGAAACCCAGGAAAGCAUGUGACUGAACAACAGGAAGGAACACCAUUUGAACAUAUUUAGCAAAAGCAAAAUCCCCCAUCGCCAAUUCUCCAUCUAUUUAUUAUGCUCCUUUCUAAUCAGCACAGAGAGGAAACAUGCAGAAUAUCCUGUGAUCACCUAUGCAUUAUAUGCUAAACAAUCUGCAAGAGGCAUUUUCCCACAAAUCUGGAAGGAUAUUUCAGCACAAGUGCACGUAGGGAAUAUAUUAAUCUUAGACUGCUGCAUUGCAGUACUAUAAAGAAACAUGGGAAGAAAUGAAAAGAGCCAGGAGGUCAGUAUAAGGAUGGAGGGCAGUGAUACAUAGCAGAGUUGCACCACUUUCCAGUUAUUCCCCUCUGUUGCAGAGUGAGGUGUGCUCCACAGCCUGACCUGGCUCACCUUAUUAUUAUUAUUAUUAUUAUUAUUAUUAUUAUUAUUAAUUUAUUAUUUGUACCCCGCCCAUCUGGCUGGGUUUCCCCAGCCACUCUGGGCGGCUUCCACAGAGACCAAAAAUACACUAAAAUGUCACACAUUAAAAACUUCCCUGAAUAGGGCUGCCUUAAGAUGUCUUCUGAAUGUCAGGUAGUUGUUUAUCUCUUUGACAUCUGGUGGGAGGGCGUUCCACAGGGCGGGCGCCACUACCGAGAAGGCCCUCUGUCUGGUUCCCUGUAACCUCACUUCUUGCAACGAGGGAACCGCCAGAAGGCCCUUGGCGCUGGAUCUCAGACGCUCCUUCAGGUAUACAGGACCGAGGCCAUUUAGGGCUUUAAAGGUCAACACUUUGAAUUGUGCUCGGAAACGUACUGGGAGCCAAUGCAGAUCUCUCAACUAACCUGCCACCCACAGGUGUUGAAGUUAGAUUCAGCUGCCAAUCCAUUUGGCUGAUUUACAAUGGAGACCCCCGGUGGCAGGCAGAGCAGGAUGGCUCACGCCCCCUCAAAAUCCUGCACCUAGGACUCUGGACACUGCACCCCCUGGGCCCCCCACACCAUGCCCCCGCCCUCACUCUCGACAGGGAAAAGGCUGUGUUUCUCUGUGAAGCACUUCAGAGAGGCCAGAUGGGUUCCUUCCGUCCAGAUUCAGUGAGUCCGAGGAACUGCAGCCAAGGUUAAAAAUAUGAAAAAGAUCGGAUCACCCCUAUUUAGAUUUCUGAGGGAAGCGAGCAAACUUUGCCUCGCUUAGGUCAGAUACUUCCUGAGCAAGCGCGAUUAAAUCAUCUGAGUAUUUGGCUGGCUUGGUGCUAUUAUACCUCUUGUGUCCCAGCUGCUGGGGAGCAGUCUCAGGGCAAGGCCUUUGCCUCUAUGUCCUGCUUGCGGGCUUUUCCAGGACAUCAGCUUAAUCACUGUGGGAAACAGGAUGCCAGACGUGGAUGGUCAUUUGGUCCGAUCAAGCUGGCUCUUAUUAUAUUUCAAAGGCCGCAGUGCUGAAAUCGCUCCCAAUAGUCUUGAAGAGGCACAAAUAGGGCUGCUUCGUGGGUCCUGUUUACUCCCUGGGAUGAACAUGAGGCUCUUAAUCUCAGGGGUGCAGGUUUGAACCCCACAUGCAUAGAAUCAUAGAAUUGUAGGGCUGGAAGGAGCCCCAACGGUUGUCUAGUUCAGCCUCCUGUGAUGCAGGAAUCUCAGCUAAAGCAUCCAUGACAGAUGGCCAUCCAACCUCUGCUUCAAAACCUCCAAGGAAGGAGAGUCCACAACCUCCUGAGGGAGACCACUCCACUGUUGAACAGCUCUUACCAUCAGAAAGUUCUUCCUCAUGUUUAGUUGGAAUCUCCUUUCUUGCAACUUGAAGCCAUUGGUCCGAGCCCUAGCCUCCAGAGCAGGAGAAAACAAGCUUGUUCUCUCUUCCAUGUGACAGCCCUUGAGAUGUUUGAAGAUGGCUACCAUAUCUCCUCUUAGCCUCCUCUUCACCAACAUACCUAUUUCCCUCAACCAUUCCACAUAAGGCUUUCCAGACCCUUGAUCAUCUUGUUCACACUUUCCAGAGCCUUGAUCAUCUUGAUGUUCCGGCUUGUCAAUAUCCUUCUUAAAUGGUGGUACCCAGAACUGAACAUUGUAUUCCAGGUGGAGACUGGCCAAGGCAGAACAGAGCAGGACUAUCACUUCCCUUGAUCGAGACACUAUACUUCUAUUGAUGCAGCCUAGAAUAAAAUUAGCUUCUUUUUUGCCGUAGGACGGGUACAAAAAUCUACAUAUCCAACCUCUUGCACAAGGCUUUGUAAAAAUGUUUGCAGAAAAGUACUUUCCAUGUAACAGCCCUUGAGAUAUUUGAAGAUGGCUAUCAUAUCUCUCCUCGGUCUUCUCUUUUCCGAGCUAAACCUACUCACCUUGGGCAAAAGAUUCCUGCAUUGCAAGCGGCUGGACUAGAUGCCCAUGGAGUCCAUUCCAACUAUGAUUCUAGAUGAGAACUGGGUUGUAGGUGUAUAUGCAACUUCAAGCAAGUUCAUUUAAAUGGUUGUGGACUGCUAACUUUUAGUAUUUGUAACGUGGGCUUAUUCGGAGCCCGUUCAUUUAGCAAGAGACGCAAAUCUUGGGAUGCUUGACUGACUCUCUCUUGACAUCAAACUCAUCUGUGAAAGCAGUACUUGCAUUAUGCUAACGGCAUGCCACAACAAAUAUGCCAAUCAGUCAUAGCUCCCAAGCUCAUUAUCCACAUUCAUUGUGGCUCGCAGAUCGCAGCUGUUGCCCAACCUUGCCCUAAAUGACACGUUCCCAACCAAAUCCAUCGUUGGUGGUUACUGCUUUCUGCAGCCAUUCAGAUGUGAUAGCCCUUCCCAAUCGCAGAGGACGACUGACAAAAGGCAUUUGGCGACAAGUGGCAGCUUUUCUGUUCUGAAUGUGCAGAUUUCCAGUUUAUUUGCAGAACUGGAGCUUCACUUUGGAGACUUGAGAUUGCGUUUUUUAAAAGUUAGACAGAAGGGGCACUUCUGCAAUUCCCAACGGGCCUUUUGCCAGCUCCUCAAAUUUGUUAGUCCCAGGAGAAGCUUUGGAAUGGAAGCUCAUCCAAAACAACAACAACAAUGGGGGAAAGUUGUGUAGGAAUCUUGCGCAUCAUUUCUAACCAUAAAUAACGUUUCAUUUCAUUUUAGCAGCAUGACAAAGCAAGGAGGUAAUGAGCCAUUAUGGAAACCCCAUCUGUUGCUCAUCAAGGGAUAGGCUUUCUGCUAGUAGAUUUAUUUAGUGGGGUGGGGGAAAGCAAUACUGGCCCUCUUCUUGUUAAUGAGACAUGGGCAUCUCAUUGCCCAAGCUGAAAAUAUAUCCUCCUAUAUCGCUUCACUGUCAGUCAACAUGCAGUACCAUGUGCUUUCACCAUAAGGCAAACAAAGACAGAGGCAUGCAGAAAAUUCAGGCUGAAAUGAGGGGGGGGGCUUAAAAGUGAAAGAAGUUGGCUCAGGGCCAAGCAGCAUGUUCCAGUAGCCACAGGGCUGCAUCCUCAUGUCAUGUUCAUUCUCCCUGGCUUAAUUAGCACUGUUUGAAACAAGAUGCAAACCAAAAUACAGCUAUCCUUUGAAAGCCGCACUUCGCUGAAUUUUGCAACGCAGUUCCUAGCCAAGAUUAUGUGCCCCCAAGUGCACGUACCAGUUUGCAUAAAAUGCAUAUAUUGGUGAAAAUGACACACAAGCAUGAAUUACGGUAGGGAAAAUUGCUAGAAAAAUUGUGCAUAUUCGUCGAGACUGUGUAAAAUUGUGCUAGGAAAAGAUCAAUCUGAAAUACUGAUGGCUUUUUCCGAGGGUUUUAAUUUUAUUUACAAAAUUCCCAAAUAGCUGUACAUAUGCUGAAUUUAUGAUUUGAAAAAUGAGAAAUGUAGAAAACUGACAAAUUUGCCAAUCCCCACUUGGCUCUCAAAGAAUUACAGACACUGGAAAGAAAGAUGGAUAUGUACAUCCCGUACCAUGACUAACAGCUUUAACAGAUCUAUGCUGUUGGGCGAAAAAAUUCCUUUAUCUAUCCAAGCAGGUCCGUUUACAAUGCCAACAGGUACAUAGUAAGAUUAUCACUUGACAAGCUUGGCUUUGUGGGCAAUUAAUCCAUUCAUUUACUAAGAAAAUUCUACUGGCAGUCAUUAAUCUUUGUUAUUUCACACGUUCAGAUUCAUCUUUUGAAUAUGCAGUGUCGGGGAAAGCUGCAUCUGUUAAAAUGUUUGCCUGUCGUGCAGCUGCUGAUGGCUCAAAGCCACUCUCAGAAAGAUGGCAUUCCUGCUGACAAGUGGGACCUGCAACAAAAUGUCAUACUGUGCAAUGCUUCUUCCCAGCCUGCCAGUCACAUCCUUUUUGCGGAUACUCCAUUUCAACCUCUCUGCCAUGUUGGGACUCCCAUAUACAGUAGUAAGGUAAAGGGACCCCUGACCAUUACAUCCAGUUGUGACCAACUCUAGGGUUGCGGCGCUCAUCUUGCUUUACUGGCCGAGGGAGCCGGCGUACAGCUUCUGGGUCAUGUGGCCAGCCUGACUAAGGCGCUUCUGGCGAACCAGAGCAGCGCACGGAAACGCCGUUUACCUUCCCACCGGAGCGGUACCUAUUUAUCUACUUGCACUUUGACGUGCUUUCGAACUGCUAGGUUGGCAGGAGCAGGGACCGAUCAAUGGGAGCUCACCCCGUCGUGGGGAUUCGAACUGCUGACCUUCUGAUCGGCAAGUCCUAGGCUCUGUGGUUUAACCCACAGCGCCACCCGCGUCCCAUAUAUACAGUGGUACCUCGGGUUAAGUACUUAAUUUGUUCUGGAGGUCCAUUCUUAACCUGAAACUGUUCUUAAUCUGAGGUACCACUUUAGCUAAUUGGGCCUCUUGCUGCUGCCGCACUGCCAGAGCACAAUUUCUGUUCUCAUCCUGAAGCAAAGUUCUUAACCCGAGGUAAUAUUUCUGGGUUAGCGGAGUCUGUAACCUGAAGUGUAUGUAACCUGAGGUACCACUGUACCUGCUGAUAUCUUUUCCAUGUGCCUUUACCCCAUAAGGAUGAACUUUUGGAAACAGAGUUCACUUCUAGUAUAUAGCAGCCUUCACUGACCUGUUCUGGACUACAGUUGCCAUGUACUGGCUGGAGCUGAUGGCAGUUGUAAUCUCAGUCAUCUAGAAGGCACCUUGUUGGCGUUGGCUGCUACGUAGGAUAUCUUAGUACUGUACGACGUUGAUCACCAUUCAUUCGAUUACCAAAAUGGUACCCAAUGGCUGGGAAGUAAAGAAGAGCCGGUAGCUCAGAGAAGUCAUUCUUACCUGGAAAGACCAGUUUGCUCUUUGUCUUGCUUGCUUUGCUAUCUAUCAAGACUUAGCUCAGUUGGUAGAGCAUGAGACUCUUAAUCUCAUGGUUGUGGGCUCAAGCCCCACAUUGGGCAAAAGAUUCCUGCAUUGCAGGGGGUUGGACUAGAUGACCCUUGCGGUCCCUUCUAACUCUACAAUUCUAUGACGUGUGUAUGGAAGUUUGUGGCAUCCCCUAUAGGCAGACCACUUACAUGCUGGGAAAGCCUAUCCUGCUAUAAUGGGAAAUUGUGAAGAAAGCUUGUUCAUUGUCGUGUGUGUGUGUGUGUGUGUGUGUGUGUUUAUAUCUACAGUGGUACCUCAGAUUUUGAACAGCUUAGUUCACGAACAACUUGGAACCAGAAAGCUGCAAAACUGGAAGUAGGUGUUCCGGUUCUUGAACUUUUUUCUAGCUCCGUUUUGAGUCCCCCUGUGUUUCCUGUUGCGCUGCUCAUUUGCAGCCCCCCAUUGUAAUUCAAGCCUUCCGUUUCCGAUUGCGGUGCUCUUGGAGCUUAUAUUUGGUGCUUUUGUUUUUGCUAUUUAUUUUGCGUUUUUUGUUUUGAGGCUUUUUGAGUUAAUUUGUUUUGGAUCACAGUUCAGCUACUGAUUGGUUGAUUGACUGAUUGAUUGAUUGAUUGAUUGAUUGUGUGGCUGAGGAAAUGGAUAAAAGCCCCCCAUCCAAACAAUGACUAUCAUUAGUGCAGGCAAGAAUUUAUAUAUUUUUUAAAUUUUCAUCAUCUACAAUACUCUUUUAUUUAUGUCAUAGUACAGUACAUUGUUUAUUGCUUUCAUUUUAUGGAUCAAUGGUCUCAUUAGAUAGUAAAAUUCAUGUUAAAUUGCUGUUUUAGGGGUUGUUUUUAAAAGUCUGGAAUGGAUUAAUCCGUUUUGCAUUACUUUCUAUGGGAAAGCGUGCCUUGGUUUUGGAACGCUUUAGGUUUGGAACAGACUUCCAGAAUGGAUUAAGUUUGAGAACCAAGGUACCACUGUAUGUAUAUAUAUAAAUGAUGAUGAUGAUGAUGAUUAAUAUAAUAUAAAGCCCCAAUGUUCCUACACAAAACCUGUCCAUUUCCCUUGCUACUUGAUUCACCAGCUCCAAAACAGCUUUUAUUCGGGAGGACACCAGCUCAUCAAUUUCCUUCUGCCUCUCUCUGAUGGAGUUCAAUGGUUGCCUCCUCAGAGGCUUGCUGUGGGAACAGAGUUUUGAUCUUUGCGAGCCUUGAAAGCAACGUGAUCAAAUGGAUGAUUGAGGGGAUUUGACAGAUGUGCAGCUGUAUAUUGUGGCUCAUCUGCCCCCUGACUUCGUUGCUCAUCUGUUUCCCUUGUCUCUGAACACACAGAGAAAACAGGCGAAGGAGAUGAAAGUUGUGUUUCAAGGUGUUGCCAUUUACUAUCCAUGCAUGAAGUGGAGUAGCAGCAGAAACCAGAGCAUAAACACAAAACGGAAUUACUGUUUCCCUAUUGGGAAGAUUCCCCCUCCCUAUUUAACCAUCUAUCUCUUUUUUUUUUUUAAUGAUAUUUAUUAAAGUUUCAAAGAAUACAAAAACAAAAGAUAAAAAUACAAGACAAUACAAAAUACAGAAAAAAGAAUAAAGUUUUUAAGAUAUAACAAAAAAAAUGAAGAAUAAAAAGAAACAUACAAAAUAAAAAACAGUUAAAAACACGUUAAUUUUCCAUAACAUAUCUUCCUUACACUUAUUUCCCCGGACCUCCUCGUACCUCCCUUUUUUGUAUUCCAGUUCAGUUUGUUAGUUCAGCAAAUCCUUACCAUUAAGCUUUUACCCAUUUAUAAACCUGUUUUCGUAUCUCUUAAAGCAUUACAGCUGGAAACCACUUAGUUUCUAUCCAACAUCCUUCUAAAAUUCCUUAAUUUUACAAUAUUUCUGUAAAUAGUCUUUAAAUUUCUUCCAGUCUUCUUUCACCGACUCUUCUCCCUGGUCUCGGAUUCUGCCAGUCAUUUCUGCCAAUUCCAUAUAGUCCAUCAGCUUCAUCUGCCAUUCUUCCAGAGUGGGUAGAUCUUGUGUCUUCCAAUACUUUGCAAUGAGUAUUCUUGCUGCUGUUGUGGCAUACAUAAAAAAGGUUCUAUCCUUCUUUGGCACCAAUUGGCCGACUAUGCCCAGGAGAAAGGCCUCUGGUUUCUUCGAGAAGGUAUGUUUAAAUACCUUUUUCAGUUCAUUAUAUAUCAUUUCCCAGAAAGCCUUAAUCCUUGGGCACGUCCACCAAAGGUGAAAGAAUGUACCUUCAGUUUCUUUACAUUUCCAACAUUUAUUAUCGGGCAAAUGAUAAAUUUUUGCAAGCUUGACUGGGGUCAUGUACCACCUGUAUAUCAUUUUCAUAAUAUUCUCUCUUAAAGCAUUACAUGCCGUAAACUUCAUACCUGUGGUCCACAACUGUUCCCAGUCAGCAAACAUAAUGUUAUGUCCAAAAUCUUGUGCCCAUUUAAUCAUAGCAGAUUUCACCGUUUCAUCCUGAGUAUUCCAUUUCAACAGCAAGUUAUACAUCUUUGACAAAAUCUUAGUUUUGGGUUCUAACAGUUCUGUUUCUAAUUUUGAUUUUUCCACCUGGAAGCCAAUUUUCUUGUCCAAAUUGUAUGCCUCCAUUAUCUGAUAAUAAUGAAGCCAGUCUCGCACUUUAUUUUUUAGUUUCUCAAAACUCUGCAGUUUCAGUCUAUCUCCAUCUUGUUCCAAACCUAUUUAACCAUCUCACUUUGAAAUUGAGGAUCCAGCUUGCAGCGUCUUCAAAUGGCUCUGUUCUUCGCUGGUCCUGUGGCCUGUCUAGCCCAGAUUGCUGCAAAAAUCCUGCUGUGCUGUCUGGGGCCAAUGGCCUGGUUGUACUCCAAAAAUUUUGGAGGGCCCCAGAGUGGGAAAGGCUCCUCUCUUCCUGGUGCUACCCUGGGAGCAGGAGAGUUCUCCAGACCCUCAUACUCAAGAAAGAAAAAGGGUACAGUGGUACCUCGGGUUACAGACGCUUCAGGUUACAGACGCUUCAGGUUACAGACGCUUCAGGUUACAGACUCCGCUAACCUAGAAAUAGUACCUCGGGUUAAGAACUUUGCUUCAAGAUGAGAAGAGAAAUCUUGCUCCGGUGGGGCGAUGGCAGCAGGAGGCCCCAUUAGCAAAAGUGAUACCUCAGGUUAAGAACAGUUUCAGGUUAAGAACGGACCUCCAUUAAGUUCUUAACCUGAGGUACCACUGUACUUAAAUAUUCAGUCUCCAGUAUUACCGCCCUCAGACUUGGACUGUGGCAGUCUAGAUCACCACUAUUGUUGAAGGCAUCCCCCCAUUUUUUACUGUGAUUUUACUCUUGCCCUUCAUUCCAUACCCCGCAAGUGUCCCAGAAAAAGAAACGUUUCUUUCCUGCGAGAGUACGGCGGCCAUUUUGGGCACUGUGAUCUCGCAUAAAUUUGCGCUGAGACCCAGCCCUGAAAAAGUGCUUUUCUCUGGAUUGUGAGCUCAUGCUUUGCCACCAAGACAUGGGUUUUCAUGCAACAUGAGAGCAUGGCCCCGAAAGCAGCACAUAUUUUGGGCCCUGUGAUCUCACGUGGGUCACAUGACUCUCAUGGGAGCACGAACUGGAAGACGUGCAUCCCAGUUGGGAACUUAACCAUGUUGGAGUCAAGUCAACCAGUGUGUUCUCUGCUUUAUCCUCAGAAAAGUAUGCUUUGUGACUCAGUGGGGGGACACAUUGAACUCGGGCCUUUCUGGUCAAAGUCUAGGCCGGGUUCUCCUUCAUGGAGAGCACGUGUUGCGGUGGGAGCAACCAAGACAUCCCUCUGUUGGUGGGUGGGUUAGGAUAGAUGGCCAUGUUUCUGAUUGGGCACAUCUCAGUCGUUGGGGAGAAUUUGGUGUAGCAAUUUUAUGAGUGACUGAUGAGGAGCUAUUUAUUCCCUGUGUGCAGCAUUGAGCUUCCUCUUUUCGCUGCAUGCAUUAGAUCACCCGCCCACCCUCCCUAUAUUUAGGGCUGUUCGCAUUGACCUUGCUAUGUCUGUCAUGAGGUUGUCUGCUUUCGGGGCAGGGGCCUGGUAGGAAUUUUGCCAUUUGGCUGAUUGGCUGGUGCAAUUUGGUUUUUGCCUACCGCGUAGCAAAUCAUCACAACUUGUAAGGUUGUGGUUAAAGGUAAAGGGACCCCUGACCAUUAGGUCCAGUUGUGACCGACUCUGGGGUUGCGGCGCUCAACUCGCCUUAUUGGCCGAGGGAGCUGGUGUUUGUCCACAGACAGCUUCCGGGUCAUGUGGCCAGCAUGACUAAGCCACUUUUGGUGAACCAGAGCAGUGCACGGAAACACCAUUUACCUUACCUUCCGGAGCAGUACCUAUUUAUCUACUUGCACUGUGACGUGAUUUCAAACUGCUAGGUUGGCAGAAGCUGGGACCGAGCAACGGGAGCUCACCCCAUCACGGGGAUUCAAACUGCUGACCUUCUGAUCGGCACGUCCUAGGCUCUGUGGUUUAACCCACAGUGGUUAGGCAUUGGUUAAUUUUGGUUGGUAGGGUUAGGGUUAGGGUUAGGGGGGUAUGGUUGGAUGUGCCUGCCCCUCCAAUGCUGCUGCUGCAAGGAUAUUCCAUUAAGGGAAUCCAGGGACUCGCCAUGCUCUUGUCCAAACCCCUGUCAAGGGGCUUGGGUUACGCAAGAGCCCCUGGGAGUAUUUGGGGAGAGGUGAGAGCCUGGCGCCCAGUUCCAUUUUCUCCCCAAAAUGUUUUCCCUUACUGACUUUCGCAGGCUUGCAGAUGUCAGUUCUGUUCCUACCUCUAGGCUAGAACAGAUACUCACGAACCAAUGCAACCACUCACAUGCUGUAAUCAACAAAGCUGUGGCCAAAAAUUAUGCCAAAAACCUUUAAACAAAAUUCUGUGUGAAUUGUCUCUUUAUUUGAGGGUGGCUAUGGGGAGACCUCGACACGCAAAUGGCUGCAUCACUUUGGUUCUCUAUCGAGCCAACAGAUCCCACAUUUUCCCAUUCUGUUUUGGGUGGUUGCUUAACUUUUCCCAGGCUGAGAGAUUUUAAUAAGAGGCUAUUGGCACAUAACUAUGCAGCGGACCAUAGACCAAUUACCUUGUCCCCUCAGGAAGCACACCAGGAGCCCUCUUUAUCCGACACCCUGUUGUGCCUUGGUGCUUUUAAGUUGCAUCUGUAAAUUAAUUAAAAGCAAGGAAGCAUUGAGCUACUCUGGAGAGAAACAUCUUCAAUGACCUCGUCUGGAUCCUAUUGAUAUCACACAGUCCGAUGAAAUGGCAUACUAGAUUGCAUUUCAAUGGGAAUUUAUUGUGGAGGAAUUUCUGUGAGUGCCGCGAUCUGGGUCUUUUGUCAGGUUUCCCAUUUCGUUCCCCCCCUGAUGUAAUGAAGGAGACACUGAGAAAGUGGGUUUGAGGUGGCUACCGCACACAAGACAAGAUGACUAUUGGGCCUAAUUAAAUGGUGUUUAAUUAACUAUUAAUAAAAAAGUACCACUUCAUAUAAUUAAAACCUGUAAGCAAUUUGCAUAAAAAACAAUAAAAACACGACUUUCCCCCCUAAAAUACUUUUCCCCCUGAAAGCGAGUGUAAAAAGAAGAUAAAAACAAAAAUACAAUUAUUUAUCACAAAUAAAGCUGAGUGGUUUAAUGGCAUAUCUCACAUGACCCUUCAUGGUUAAAGCUGAAAAUGCUUCUGAAAAAACUCCCUUUUCAUUUCUUUGACUUUGGGGAUUGCAUCUUCCUCCAAAUGAAAUGCAGUUGAGCCCAAAGGUUGAUUGAAAUAGAUAGAUAGAUAGAUAGAUAGAUAGAUAGAUAGAUAGUAACUUGUCCCUAUUAGUAUACACUGAACAUUUGUUUGAGAGAAGAGAGCGAACCAAACCUGGAUAUUUUGGUUGUCGUCUGUCGCCUUGCAUCAUGUUAUGGUUUAGGAUUCUGUUCAUUUACUCUGCUCAUUGACCAGUGGUUAUGGGUUGUUGUGGAUGGUGUGAAUGGGUUUGUUGUGGAUGGUUUGAAUUUUAAUAUCCAGGAAGCGAAACAAAUUCGUUAUAAAUUCGUCCACAUGGCUGUCAAGGAAAAGACAACAACUCGAUGAAGAUAUCAGCAGGGAGCUAGCUAUCUGCUUCGCCAAUCCUUGGAGGUGGAUUAUCAUCUCACAAGCAUGAGCAUACCCAGAAUGAGGGAAGCAUUUUGGUAGGAAUAUUUCUUGACUGUUGGCUCAGUGCUGCCCGCUUCCCCUGUAUAUGUGCAAGUACAGUGGUACCCCGCAAGACGAACGCCUCGCAAGACGGAAAACCCGCUAGACGAAAGGGUUUUCCGUUUUGGAGGCGCUUCGCAAAACGAAUUUCCCUAUGGGCUUGCUUCGCAAGACGACAGCCCAUAGGGAAAUCUCAGGGACAGCGGGGAAGCGCAGCGCGUCUUCCCCACUGUCCUCGGACCUCCUCCGAAGCCCGGCGGCGGGGCGGGGACACCUCCUCCCGCCGCCGCCGGGCUCGGAAGGCUCCUCCGAGCCGGGCGGGGGAGGGAACACCUGCCGCCGCCGCCCGGCCCGGGCGGUGCUCCGAGCCGGGCGGGGGAGGGAAGACCUCCGCCGCUGCCCGGCUCGGGCGGUGCUCCGAGCCGGGCGGUGGGGAGGAAGACCUCCCCGCCGCCCGGCUCGGGCGGUGCUCCGAGCCGGGCGGGGGGAGGGAACACCUGCCGCCGCCGCCCGGCUCGGGCGGUGCUCCGAGCCGGGCGGUGGGAGGGAAGACCUCCCCCGCCGCCCGGCUCGGAGCGGUGCUCCGAAGCCGGGCGGGGGGAGGGACACCUCCCGCCGCCGCCCGGCCCGGGCGGUGCUCCGAGCCGGGCGGGGAGGGAAGACCUCCGCCGCCGCCCGGCCGGAGCGGUGCUCCGAGCCGGGCGGGGAGGGAACACCUGCCGCCGCUGCCCGGCCCGGAGCGGUGCUCCGAGCCGGGCGGGGGAGGGAGACCUCCCGCCUCUGCCCGGCUCGGAGCGGUGCUCCGAGCCGGGCGGUGGGGAGGGAAGACCUCCCGCCUCUGCCCGGCUCGGACGGUGCUCCGAGCCGGGCGGGGGAGGGAAGACCUCCGCCGCCGCCCGGCCGGAGCGGUGCUCCGAGCCGGGCGGGGAGGGAACACCUCCGCCGCCGCCCGGCUCGGGACGGUGCUCCGAAGCCGGGCGGGGGAGGGAAGACCUCCCGCCGCCGCCCGGCUCGGAGCGGUGCUCCGAGCCGGGCGGGGGAGGGAAGACCUUCUGAAGGCGGGCGGGGGCGAAGUCUUUGCUCCCCCUGCCUGCCUGUCCCGGAGGGCUUUGAGGCGGGGGAGCAAAGACUUUCGCCCCCCGCCCGCCUUCAGAAGAGGUCCAAGUCCUCCGCUGUCCCGGGGUGAUUUUAAAAUGCCGCCCGCCAGCAUUUUAAGAUCGCCCGGACAGCGGAGAAGUCCUCCGCUGUCCCGGGGUUUUUUAAAAUGCUGGGGGUGGGAAGAAAAGCCCUUGCCCCCCAGCCUUCAGAAGAGGUCCGGGGACAGACAGUCCCCGGACCUGGUCUGAAGGCGGUUUCCCUAGGAACGCAUUAGUUGUUUUUAAAUGCAUUCCUAUGGGAAACCGUGCAUCGCAAGACGAAAAACUCGCAAGACGAAGAGACUUGCGGAACGAAUUAAUUUCGUCUUGCGAGGCACCACUGUACCUAUCUGACUUAAGGCCAGGCAGCAUUUUGAAGGUCCAGCAGUGACCUGAAUUGAAGCUGAGCGGCUGGGAGAUGCUAUUUUAAUACCGCACAGUCCCACUAAUGUAGUGCUGCUGUGGUGCAGCAAAAUUUUUAAAAGGCAGCUCGUGACAACUCUCAACAUUGUGCGUAUGGGUGUGUUUUUCAGCAUGGCAAACAAUUGUUCUUUGUUGUUUUAUCUUACAGAAAUUAUAUCUAAACCAUCCAAGUUUGAAACAGCUUCCGUGGAUGGAAACAAAUAACACUCGAGAUCAGUUGUACGCUUGCUUAAUUAUGAUGACUUCCAUCACAUCCUUUCAAUGGGCUGGAUCCAGACUAGGUUGGUUGCACAUCAUCCCCAGUGAAAUUCAUAAUGACCAACUUGUCUCAUUGAUUUCAUUGGGGCCUAAGUGCAACCAACUUAGUCUGGGGCCAGCCCAGUAUUGGGGGCACAUAAUGCACAUUACAUAUCUUCCCUGUCUCAAAACACCUGGAAACUUUGCCUAUAUUGUCGUACAUCUUGCCAACAGGGUACCUGUGACACUUAUUAAAAUGCUGUUAGAGUAUAGAGUUCAUGUGAGUUGAGUUAGCUUUAGUAGGAAUCGGUUCAGGAAGGCCAAUUGAUUCAGAUUACCGUGGGCAGCACACGAUGAGCUUUUACUUGUGCAACAAAUUCAUCAAGCAGGUUUAUGGGACUUUAUUACUGGGUCAGAACUAGUAGAGCAAUACAGUCAUACCUCAUGUUUCAUCCGCUUCAGGUUGCGUGUUUUCAUCUUGCGUCCCGAGGCAACCCGGAAGUACUGGAAUGGGUUACUUCCGGGUUUCGCCGCUUGCGCCUGCGCAGAAGCGCCAAAUUAUGCCGCGUGCCUGUUGAGUUGCUGGUGUUUCAUGUUACAGACAGGCCUCUGGAACGGAUCCAGUCUAUAACACGAGGUACGACUGUACAGAAGAGGGUAAAUGGACUGAGAGCAAUUUGAUAAAUGGCGCUCUAAUUAAGUCAGCUGACCCCAGUGCCUAGGUCAGGCUGGCCUGCCAUUGGUCAAAGUCUAUUUUGACGUUUGGUCUGAGGGAGCGCCGCUCAACAGUAUCUUGGAUGACAGAAAGUCACGCUUUCCCCAAAAGGAAACUGGUUUUGUGCUUCCAGAUAUGUGAAGUCAAAACAAAAAUAAUCACAGGAUUAAAUGGAUUGUAAUGGCUGAGUACUUUUAAGGGCUAAUAUUCUUUGGCACUCCUCCUUUGCCAUUUUUCCAUCUGGAGAUAAUUGUGUGAUAUCAUGCAGAAAGCCAAGACAUAAAUCAGCCUGGCUACUGAGCAACUCGAAGAACUUCAGUCGAAGCUCAUGAAUGUGAAAAAGUAGUGCUCCAUUUGCAACCAUAUGCCAACCAAGACAACAACAAGAAAAAGGAAAGGACAGUGGUUGAUGGGCAACUUCCUAGUUGUUUCAUAAGCAGCAAUAAUUAUGGCGAAAUUACUUUUGAAAAAAAGUAAACUCCUUUGGUUAUUUCUGCAAGCUAUUAAGUUCUCCUGUUCAGCCCACAUCUCCAAGUGUUGUCUUGAGGAUGCAGCGCUUACCCAUACAGUCAUACCUUGGAUCCCAAACACCUUGGUACUCAGACAUUUUGGCUCCCAAACACCGAAAACCCAGAAGUGAGUGUUUUGGUUUGUGAACGUUCUUUGGAACGUGAACCUGAACGUCCAAUGGGGCUUCCGCAGUUUCCGAUUGGCUGCAGGAGCUUCCAGAACGGACUUCCAGAACGGAUUCCGUUCGACUUCCAAAGUACGACUGUAUUUGGUUACUAAAGGUGGACAUCAUUGGAGACUUGCUAACUUUCAGAUUUCUCUGCCCUGAAGCAAUGGCUAUUGAUAGUCUAUGGGGUGUCUCCUUGAGAGCUGAUGGUCAGAGGCAAUGACUUCGCCAGUUAUGACUUACCCCUACGUGUAGGAUAAGAAUAAAACAGUUUGAGACAGCACUGCAGUCCUCUACGGUCUUACCUGGCAUAAGUCCCAUUGAACUCAACAGGGGUUUGGGCUCUGUGAACUUCUCAAGGUGGUUACUGUUUCCCUAGAGAUCUGAUGUGGGAGAGGUGGGUUUUGGUUGUCAAGGGCAAUCAAGCUAUGCUUGUUCAUAAAUUCAUGGAAAAUUAAGCUAUUAAUGGCGUCCAGAUAUGUACAACCUCCAAUGGUAGUUUGCCUCUGAAAACCAGUAGCACAUGGGGAGACUGCUGUUGUGCCCAGGUCUUGCUUGUGGGCUUCUCAUAGACAUCUGGCUAGCUACAGUGGGAACAGGAAGCCACAAUAGAUGGGCAUUGGUUCUGGUCCAGCAGAUGUCUUCUUAUGUUCAGCCACUUAGCAUGCAGCACAGAGGCACAGGUGAAUAAGAGCAUCAUAACAAUUGUAGAGCUGCUGUUCAAAACAUGGAAAGGGACCUAAGCGGAAACUUCAUCUUCUCUUGCUUUCUUGUAAAUCUUGAGUUCAUCCCUGGACUCGUUCUAUCCCACCUCUCUACACACCACCAGCCCUCUCCAGUUUCCUUAUAUAGCCGUGUGACUCACUUUAUAGCGAGCAGUCCUCUAUUUGAGGAAGUUCAGAAGGGCAAAGCCCAAUUUAAAUAACCAACGAAGGGAGAACAAUGGACUGGCAGCUGCCCCAUCAACAAUACAGUACCUGGCAUAGGAGCCAACUCCUAGGGGCCAAGGUCUCUUUGCCCUCCAUAAAAUAUUUGAGGGGGCCGGGGAGGGGCAAUGUUGAUAGGCGUUGCCAUUCAAAUGCUGUGUGUGCACCGUGUCUUGUGAUUGAUUAUGCAGAGAGGGGAUUGCCUGCCCCCCCAAUAAUUUAUUCAAGCUGGCACCCCUGGUACUUGGACAGCAGGCUGAGGAGCACACAUGUUACCUGGUCUCAGUCUUCCCCACUCUGUUGAGAUGGCUGUACUUCUUUCGUUUAGUCAUUUAGUUGUGCCCGACUCUUCGGGACCCCAUGGACCAAGCACGGCAGGCACUCCUGUCUUCCACGGUACUUCUUUUAGCCCAUAGUAAUUAUUGCAGUAAUUGAUGCUUUUGAAUUAUGGUGCUGGAGGAGACUCUUGAGAGUCCCAUGGACUGCAAGAAGAUCAAACCUAUCCAUUCUUAAGGAAAUCAGCCCUGAGUGCUCACUGGAAGGACAGAUCCUGAAGCUGAGGCUCCAAUACUUUGGCCACCUCAUAAGAAGAGAAGACUCCCUGGAAAAGACCCUGAUGUUGGGAAAGAUGGAGGGCACAAGGAGAAGGGGACGACAGAGGACGAGAUAGUUGGCUAGGGUUCUCAAAGCUACCAGCAUGAGUUGGACCAAAUUGCGGGAGGCAGUGGAAGACAGGAGUGCCUGGCGUGCUCUGGUCCAUGGGGUCACGAAGAGUCGGACACGACUAAACUACAACAAAUUAUUUAUACAUUAUCAGAACACAUAUCAAUUCUGCAUUAGUGCCCCCUAUCUUCUCUAAGUUUAAAGAGGUUUACUAGAAUUGCAAGGGGAAAAACCUAAAGGACCCCUGGAUGGUUAAGUCCAGUCAAAUUCGACUCUGGGGUGCACCGUUCAUCUUGCUUUUCAGGCCAAUAGAUCUGGCGUUUGUCCGCAGACAGCUUUCUGGGUCAUGUGGCCAGCAUGACUGAACCACUUCUGGUGCACAGAGCACCAUGAUGAAUGCCAGAGCGCACGCAAACACCGUUUACCUUCCCACCACCACAGUAUCUAUUUAUCUAUUUUUACUGGUAUGUUUUCGAACUCCUAGGUUGGCAGAAGCUGGGACAGAGCAAUGGAGGCUCACCCCGUUGCGCGGAUUCGAAUUGCUGACCUUACAAUCAGCAAGCCAAGCCCAAGAGGCUUAGUGGUUUAGACCACAGUGCCACCUGCAUCCCUUACGAUAAUUAUACCUGCAUCUGAUGCACAGCACAGCUUUGCUGCUGCCUCUCAAAAUUUCAAAAGACUUUCAGCACCCCAGAUUCUGCAGAAUGUGUAUUGCAAAGCCUUUGUCCUGGCGCAGUAUCUCUCCUGCCUAUCCCACAUGACUUCUUUCAUCCCAGAUGUUUCCUGACAAGAGUUUCAAAAGCAGGAUAAAUAGUUAGGGGUAGAUGGGAAUAUGAAAGUGGCUGAGCAGCUUCUUUGGGCUUGUCUCUUUAGAACUGACUUGAGGACUUCAUCGCAUCCAGGAUGACCAGCUUAAUCUUCCAUCCCCAAUGCUCCUAAAACUCAUCAUCAUUUCAUCAUCAUUUUUUAUCUGUAUGCCGCCUUUCCAUAGUUAGAACAAUGCUCAAGGCGGCUUCCAACGUGACAAGAUUUACAUAAUUACCAACAAAAGUCAUAAACAAUAAAGCACAUCAAAAUGUACACAACCCCUAAUAACCGCACCCCCAAGAAAGAAUCAUUGCAAUUACUGAUUACAAGCAGGAUAAUUAAGAACUGUGUGGAAAUAAAUUACUAAUCAAAGACAUGGCUUGUGGGAACAUCGGGAAAGGAAUGAAAGCUCUUUGUGACGCAGUUAAAAAGAGAUUUGUUACGGCAGGCCUGGCCACAGGAUGAUCGAGGGAGAGGAGGACGAUGGUUUGUUAUUAUAUCGGACUGUGAGUUUGACCUGGCAGGGCCCCCUGAGAAAAUUGAGAGACUGGCAGGCCUGUGGAAAUUAACGGACAGACUUUGGGAGUGUUUUGUACGGAGGUACGGAAAUGGCGUCUGUCUAUUUUGAUAUGGCUCUUGGAGGAGUGUAAAAUCCACACAGGAUAUAACAACAUUUGUUUUCAACCCACUUGUGGAGACUACCAGAGAUCACAAAGAAAGGAAUAUAUGAUAACAACAAGAAGAUGAGGAAAAUAACAAAGAGAAGAUUGAACAGAACUGUGAAUACUAUUUUGACAGAACUGUGUACAUUAAAGCAGCAGCAAGAGAGAUGUUUGGAUCCCUUUCUGAGCUCGAAGUAUGUGUACCCCCAACAAAAUUUAAAAAUUUGGCUGUGUAAUUUGGAAUUAAUGUGAUUUGGAAUUAAUGUGAUUUGAUUGGCCUGUUAAUAAAAAUUAUUUGGAAAAAAACACAAAAUGUACACAACCAAAUGGAUAACAAUUUCCACAUAAAUCAUAAAAUCUAAAAAAUACAACAUUAAUAGCAAUAACAAUUUAAAAUGACAUAGAUAAAAAAAUAAAAACAAUUUUAAAAAGGAGCCAUCUCUGUCCAGCAGCAGCAGCAGGCCCUGCCCCAAGCCAGGUGGAGAGAGGCAGGGCACGGCUCUCAGGCUCCCAGCAGGUCUGUGUUGGGUUUCUGUUUUGCAGACUGCUGAGGUUCUUGAUAAAAACAUCUGCCUUAUCAAAUGAGAAACUUUCAGUGGGAAGAUUUGGCUCAGCCCGACUUAAAAUCUAUCAUUAUUCUAGAUUUGUUAGCCAUUUGUUAUCUGACGGUCUCCAAGCAACCCAUCAUCAUUUGCACUUGUUAGUCACUUCUUACUUGAAGGUCUCUAAGCAACUCACAACACAUUAAAAACAUAAAUAUAAAUGCAUUAUACCAUCAAAACAAAACAAAACUAACCCUGCAACAGCCACAGGAAGCUCUGGCAGCAGCCUAGUAGCAAAACAACACCAGUCUAUUAAAAGCCUAGGAAAAUAGGUAAGUCCCUACCUGGAGCCAAAAAGAUGUCAACAAAUGUCACCAGGCAGACCUUGCUGGGACCUACCUCAGUGGUGAAGUCAAACACCUAUUUGUGGCUACUCAAGUCUUAUGAAUUCCAUUGCUUAUAGCUUAUCUGGUUAACUUUCUUUGUAGAUGGGAUAUAGCUAUAACCUAGACAAGCUUUAAAUGCAGCUGAGUUUAUAGUUAAAAGAUGGAAAAUGGAAAUAAAUGAAACAUGGAAAAGAGGAGAUAGAUGGUCCUCUUUAAAAUAUCUAAAGGUUUGUCGCAUGGAAUAUGGAGCAAGCUUGUUUUUCUCCUGCUCUGGAAGUAGGACUCGAACCAAUGGAGUCAAGUUACAAGAUAGGAGAUUCUGAAUAAACAUCGGGAAGAACUUUCGGACAGUAAGAGCUGUUCGACAGUGGAACAGACUCGCACAAGAAGUGGUGAGGUCUUCCUUGGAAGUUUUUAAACAGAGGUUGCAUGGCCAUCUGUCAUGGAUGCUUUAGAUGAGAUUCCUGCAUCUCAGGGGGUUGGACUAGAUGACUCGUGGGGUUUCUUCCAACUCUGAUUCUAUGAAUUGUUCCCGUAUAUGAUAAUGCUCACUUAAGUGUUGGAAAAUCGUAAUUUAAUGUUUGGUAUUUGUUAAAAUCAGCCAGGGCCCAGAUGAUCCUUCCAUUAGGCAGAGAGAGACAGAGAUAUUGCAGGGCAAGGCAUGGCAAUGACAUAUUGAUGGCAGGGAUAGGCAAGAAUUUUGGUUUAGUUUUGCAAUUCUCUAGGCAAACCAAAAUGCAGCUACCCCCUAGAAAUUUGUAUUUCUCCAAAUUUUUGUGAUGUAGUUUUCCAGCCAAAUGAUGGGUACAAAAAGCUAUACAUUAAGGUGCAUAGAAAUGCACAUAUUAACAAAAACCGCCAAGAAAGAUGCAUUGUAUUAUGCAGAACUGCUUGCAAAAAUGUGUACUUUAGGCAAAAUUGCAAUUAAAUAUGUGUACAGUGGUGCCUCGCAAGACGAAAAGAAUCCGUUCUGUGAGUCUCUUCGUCUAGCGGUUUUUUCGUCUUGCGAAGCAAGCCCAUUGACGGAUUAGCAGAUUAGCGCUAUUAGCGGCUUUUAGCGGCUUAUCGGCUUAUCGGAUAAGCGGCUUAUCGGCUUAGAAAAAGGGGGGGAGGGGAAAAAAACCGCAGGAACUCGCAAGACAUUUUCGUCUUGCGAAGCAAGCCCAUAGGAGAUUCGUUUUGCGAAGCACCUCCAAAACGGAAAACUCUUUCGUCUAGCAAGUUUUCCGUCUUGCGAGGCAUUCGUCUUGCGGGGCACCACUGUAUUGGGGAAACAUGCACUAAAAUGCAGAUGGAUUUUUGUGAAAUCAGAAAAAAUGCAAAUCCAUGUGAAAGUGUGGAGAACUGAGUUAAUUUCUGUCCCAUGUCCCUUAGAGUAAGUUGCCAUUUCCAAUUAGUUUUUGUUAAGUUUCUGCAUAUACCAUCAAAAGACAAUGUCAUCUUUUCUCUUAUUUUUAUCAGCUUCCUACCCCAUUUUCCAUGGAGUUGUUGCUUGUUCCUUUCCGCUGCCCCCUAUCUUCUAUCUAAUAAAUCAUAACCACAAUAUUAUAAUCUAAUUACUUCUGUUGCUCAUAGCUCAAAUCCUGCUCAUGAGUUCAUCUUACUAUAUGUCUUUAAACAGUCUGAAAAAUGCGCCCAGUUCUGCAUAGUAAGUUUUGCCAGUUCUGCAUAGUAUGUUUGGUCGGAACUUCUUAUUUCUUCCAUUUCUGCGCCUAUAGACUCCUAGCUGCUGCUCUUACAUACAUAAACAACUACAACAGUUUUUUUGGGGGGGGGUGGUUCUGCUACAUAGAUUGCUAGGUAGGUUGCCAUCUCAUCACCCAUGUUGAAAUAAAAUUCUAUUCACAUCUGGUUGACAUGGAACUGGGACGGCCUCAUGUAGAUGCCUUGAACCACCAUUGAAAGCAGUGCCUCUUUGUAAUUUAAGGAAUCUAAACAAGGGCAUGUACCUGGGCAGCCCUAGGGAGCAGCUUCUCUCCCCCCCCCUUAGUAACUUGCAAAAUGCAAAAUGGUUUUAGUGCAGGAAAGGAGGAUAAGGAAACAUAAAGAAAUAUGUACCCGACUGCGCCACCAAAGUAGGAGCCUGCUACAGGAGGAAUGUUGCUUGACCUCUUAAAGAGGGUCACUGUCAUUUCCCCCCAGCGCUCAGGGAUAAAAAAAAACUGUUCCAGGCAUUUGAGUGUAGCAGAAGUGCCGAGCCACAAGAGAUAAGAUUACAGGAAACCCAGGCAUUGUAUCGUGAUUCACAGCGGCCUGCGAAGUGGAAUUCAAAUUCCAUCAGGCAAGCACACACCCGCCAGUAUUUCAAAGAUGAAAAUAAAGCCACUCUUGUGUCCUUCUAACAGCCUUAUUCACACACCAGGGAUCAAAGUUUCUGCCUCCGCCCACUCACUUUUGCAUAUUUCCGAAGCCACUGCCCCCCCAGCGCUGCAAACUCAGACACUUUCAGUAGCAUUCCUUAUCUUAAUAGGCAGUUACAUGAAAGAUUUUGGGGGAAGGAAAAUGGCACACUCUGUUGAGGGGUUUUUUUAAAACAACAACAACAUGUAUAUGCAGUAGAAUCAAGACUCGCUCAGAAGUUAACUUUCAGAUAAUUCUCAUUAUUUAUUUCCUUUAUUAUCUGACCCAAGGUAGGUGCAAAUCUUCAGAGGGUCUUUAAAGGAAGGAGGCGGUGUUUCUGAUAUUUUGGCUGUUUAGGGCUUUUAGUGAUGUAUGGAAGUGAGAGCUGGACCAUAAAGAAGGCUGAUCACCGAAGAAUUGAUGCUUUUGAAUUAUGGUGCUGGAGGAGACUCUUGAGAGUCCCAUGGACUGCAAGAAGAUCAAACCUAUCCAUUCUUAAGGAAAUCAGCCCUGAGUGCUCACUGGAAGGACAGAUCCUGAAGCUGAGGCUCCAAUACUUUGGCCAUCUCAUGAGAAGAGAAGACUCCCUGGAAAAGACACUGAUAUUGGGAAAGAUGCAGGGUAGAAGGAGAAGGGGACGACAGAGGACGAGAUGGUUGGACAGUGUUCUCAAAGCUCCCAGCAUGAGUUUGACUAAACUGCGGGAGGCAGUGGAAGACAGGAGUGCCUGGCGUGCUCUGGUCCAUGGGGUCACGAAGAGUCGGACAUGACUAAACAACAACAAGGGCUUUUAACACUCUGUUGAGCAAAUUGAAUUGUGUCUGGAAUGAGCAUUUCACAAGUGCACUUGUUUGAAAACAGAAGUUAAGCGGUUUGUGAAUUGAACCCCAGCCAGUAAUCUGGUUGCUGCAUUUUUAGACCAGCUGAAGUUUCUGAGUCAUCGAUAGCGGCAGCCCCACGCCCAGCAUGUUGCAAUCAUCCGUUCUGGAAAUUGCCAGAGCAUGGAAUGCCACGGCCAGGUCAUCCCUGUCCAAAAGAGGCAGGAGUUGGCAAAGCAGCUGUAGCUGAAAAUAGGCACUCAUUGUCACAAAAGCCACCUGAGCCCACAUUGACAAAGUCGGAUCCAGGAGUUAGUCCCAAAUUGCAGACCUGCUCCUUCCAAGCCAGGUCAUUUCCCUACCUCCUGGUCAAGAACUCAGACCACAUUGUUGGCAUCCAUCUGUCUCUUCCAUUGUACAUUUCCCACAAUUAAAUGUCUACCAAUACAGUGGUACCUCAGGUUAAGUACUUAAUUCAUUCCGGAGAUCUGUUCUUAACCUGAAACUGUUCUUAACCUGAAGCACCACUUUAACUAAUGGGGCCUCCUUCUGUGCCGCGCCACCGGAGCACGAUUUCUGUUCUCAUCCUGAAGCCAAGUUCUUAACCUGAAGCACUAUUUCUGGGUUAGCGGAGUCUGUAACCUGAAGCGUCUGUAACCUGAAGUGUCUGUAACCCAAGGUACCACUGUAAAACAAUACAUUCAUUGACUUUCCUCCUCCUCCUUCCGUGAUUCUUUUAAUUUUCCCAUUAUUACUGCAUAUUCUAUUUCAACCAUUUAUUUUCCCCUCCUUUUUCAUAUUACCUCGACUUGAAUUAUACUGUUGAAUUUACCUUAAUCCUGAUAGUGUUUUCACUUGUUUACAACUGUUUUCCAGAUAUUGCACCCCAAAAAAUAUAAUCCAUUCCUCUUUAUAAACUCUGUCUUCUUGUUCUCUUAUUCUGCUGGUUAGACCUGGUAACUCUACAUAUUCCAUCAUUUUAAAAUGCCAUUCCUCCUACUGUGGGACCUUUCCCACCCUUCAUUUUUGGGCUAACAAAAUCUGAGCUGCUGUAGUUGCAUACACAAUUAAGUUUUUUUCUGACUUCUAUCUGCACCAUUCCUAAAAGAAAAACCUCUGGUUGGUUUUUUUUGGGGGGGGGAGGGGAUGUUCUUUUAAACAACUUUUUCAUCUCAUUGUAAAUCAUUCCCCAAUAAUCCUUAACUGUUCUGCAUGACCACCACAUAGGAUAGAACAGGCAUAGGCAAGCUCGACCCUCCAGAUGUUUUCGGACUACAACUCCCAUCAUCCCUGACCACUGGUCCUGAUAGCUAGGGAUGAUGGGAGUUGUAGUCCCAAAAACAUCUGGAGGGCCGAGUUUGCCUGUGCCCUGGAUAGAACAUCCCUUCUACUUCUUUACAUUUCCAGCACAUACCUGAUUCAGAUUUGUACAUUUUCACUAAUUUACUCGGAGUUAAGUACCAUCAAUAUAUCAUUUUCAUGUAAUUUUCCUUUUCAGUGUGUAACAUACAAUAUAUGUUAAGUCCUUCCAUAAUUUCUCCCAAAGGUCAAAUUCUAUAUUUCGUCUUAGAUCUCUUGCCCAGUGAGUCAUUGAUGAUUUUGCCAGCUCAUCUUUUGUUUCCCAUUCCAAUAAUAAUUUAAACAUUUUAGACAAUUGUCUCCAGGAAACAAUGGAGUGUGCCUCGGGGGGUGAAGUCAAACCACUGCGAUGCAGCACUAAAACCCAUCUUUUCAGUAUCCAGCUUGAAUUUAGAGUGGGGUUGAAACCUAAAGAAUGGCAAAUUUCGGAAUUCGUACUAACGCAAUUUAUAAAGGGCUCCCCAAAUCUCUCCAAAACACAAAAUGCAGAGGAAACUGGAAUAAUGGUUGACCACGGGCAGAUGCCAGUUAAUAGGACAUUUGGAGUAUGUGCACACAUAAUCGUAACCAAGGCCUUAGCAGAGUGAACACGGUCUAAAUGAGGAAUGACCUUGAGAUGUUUUUCAACUCAAACUCCCAUUAGGGAGUUGGAAUGAUGAUCGGGGAUGAUGGAAGUUGGAGUUUAGUAGCAUCUAAAGGGCGACAGUUUCCCAUCCCUGCCUCACCGGAGAGACUGAGUUUUUGCUCAAUUCAUGCAUUAACUGGCUGCAUCCCACAAUGCUCCAGUAACCUACAUAAUUAUGAAUCUUCUUCUUCUUCCAUUUUCAAAAUAGUAUUCCAUUCCUCUAUUUGAUUUACAGCAUCAAUUUCAGUACAAGUAAAUUUCAUCCAUCAAUCGAUACAAAUUCAGAUUAAGCUCAGUACUUUUUAAAUAAUAAUUUUUAUUAAUUUUCCAUUUCAAUCCAAUGAUAGCCUCAUUAAAACAAUAUCAAAUUAGAAUACAAUUACUAAUACCAAUUGUUCAAACACCAAAUUAUAUAAUUUAGGUGGCCUCCCACGUGCUAGAAUUGAUGGUUUGAUGAUUUUCUUCAUUUCUGAGUUACAGAAUCUUAUUAAUUUCAAUUACAUCCCAGUCAAAAUAACAAUCCCUUAUACAACAACUGCAAUAUUAGUAACUCCUAUUCGUGUUGACAUGACACAUUAAAUGAUUUAUAAAUCUACAAGUGAGGCACUUAAACUAUAUCCUUGUUCUUCCUGUGUGUGGCAAUUAUCCUGUCCGUGGCGUUUAUUCCUGGCCUUGUAAAAUGUUAUGUGUAUCUUUUCCCAGUUGUUGCUGUUCUCCAUCAUGCCUUGGGCGGAGAUGAUAUCCCAUUGUUGUUUCAGAAAUUUCUCCAUUGCUCUGUUCAGAUUAAGCUCAGUAUUGCUUGUUAUAGUGUACCUGUACCUCCAAAUAGAUAUGUAAUUGUGAAACUACAUGGAAGGUUUGAAAUUCCAUAUUCCAAAGGCACUGGUACCCAGAAGGUAGACUGCAUACUUUGCACACAAAAGGUCUCAGGUUCAGUCCAUGGCAUUGUUGCAUAGGAUUGGGAGACACCUUUGCCUGAAACACUGGGGAGCUGCUGCCAGCCGGUGCUGACAUUACUAGGCUAGAUGGAAUCUGUAUCAGGCAGCUUUCUAUAUCCAUUGUUCCUAACUGAUGUCAGAAGUUCCUGAGUAAUCAAAGCCCACAAACAGACCUGUUUAUCAACCUCCAGUAACCCAGCACUGUUGUACACCGAACAACCUAUAUUUAACAGGGGGAAGUGUGGAAUUGACCAGCCUGAGCCUGAUAAUAUGAGGAUAGAUUAUGCAUUGUACAAACUAAUUCAAAUAGUAAAGAAUGAUUUGAAUUCCACACUGCCAUCUGGUGAUGUUACACGGAAUGGCAUAUAUUGUAUAUGUGUGCAUAUGUAUAUGUACAUACAGUAUAUCUUUGUUUAUAUCUAUAUAAACGACCAAACUAGAUACAGUGGUGCCCCGCAAGACGAAUGCCUCGCAAGACGAAAAACUCGCUAGACGAAAGGGUUUUGCGUUUUUUGAGUCGUUCCGCAAGACGAAUUUCCCUAUGGGCUUGCUUCGCAAGACGAAACGUCUUGCGAGUUUGUUUCCUUUUUCUUAAAGCCGCUAAGCCGCUAAGCGCCGCUAAGCUGCUAAUAGCCGUGCUUCGCAAGACGAAAAAACCGCAAGACGAAGAGACUCGCGGAAUGGAUUAAUUUCGUCUUGCGAGGCACCACUGUACAACAGUGGUCAACCUGUCUGUCAGGACUGGCUUGUAACUGGAGGUGUCGGGAAGCUAUAGCAUCAGAGGGCAGGAGAUGACUCCUUCACCAAUUCAUGCUUUCCACUAGAAAUGGGAUUCUGUAUACAGUGGUACCUCGGGUUAAGAACUUAAUUCGUUCUGGAGGUCUGUUCUUAACCUGAAACUGUUCUUAACCUGAGGUACCACUUUAGCUAAUGGGGCCUCCCGCUGCUGCCGUGCGAUUUCUGUUCUCAUCCUGAAGCGAAGUUCUUAACCCAAGGUACUAUUUCUGGGUUAGCGGAGUCUGUAACCUGAAGCGUCUGUAACCCGAGGUACCACUGUAGUUUUAAUAUAAUCAAAAUGGUGUUUUUAAUGUAUAUAUAUUAACACCGGGACGCAGAUGGCGCUGUGGGUUAAACCACAGAGCCUAGGGCUUGCUGAUCAGAAGGUCGGCGGUUCGAAUCCCCGCCAUGGGGUGAGCUCCCGUUGCUCGGUCCCUGCUCCUGCCAACCUAGCAGUUCGAAAGCACGUCAAAGUGCAAGUAGAUAAAUAGGUACCGCUCCAGGCGGGAAGGUAAACGGCUUUUCCGUGUGCUGCUCUGGUUUGCCAGAAGCGGCUUAGUCAUGCUGGCCACAUGACCCGAAGCUGUCUGCGGACAAACGCCAGCUCCCUUGGCCAAUAAAGCAAGAUGAGCACUGCAACCCCAGAGUCGGUCACGACUGGACCUAAUGGUCAGGGGUCCCUUUACCUUUCUAUAAAACACCAUAUAACCUAUUUUCAUUUCUGCAAGUGGCUGCCCUUGCUCAUUAUUGUUUUCAAAUAAUUUGUCACACGAUCAAAGCUGAAUACAAAUAAAAAUGAGCUGAUAGAUUCUGCAUUCAUUUCCCUUAGGUUUGGAUUAGCAUCUUGGUGCAGCUAUUAGCUGCUAACUAGAGAGAGACACAUGAAAAUAGCCAGGCUAAAGCUUUAUGGUGCAAGGCCAAAAAGCUUUUCACGGCUCCUCACUGGCAUUUCCAUAAUUACUGAUGGAAUCGGUGAGCAGUUGUGGCCAAUGUCCUCUCCACCCCCCGCCCCUUCUCAGUUGGCUAGGACAGGAGGCAAAAUGCUUUCAAAAGUAACUUAAUCUGCUUGGCACGGGCAAGGUUCUUUUGAAGAGCGCGAAUGUUUUGCCACUGCACCAGCCUAAACGAGAAGUAUGCUUCGGUUAUUUAAUUAAAGCCGAUUGUGUAGGCUUCCAUUAGCUGAUCAUCCCUCUGCGGUCGAAUUGGAUCAUACUGGUGCCACUGUUGAAGUAGAUUUGUAUACAGGCGUCCAUAAUGCUGCCCUGUUGGAAGGGGAAAACAGAGAGGGCCAUGAAAGGACUUGGAACUUAGCUGGUGCACGGAGGAGGGAGGGAAGAGAGAGAGACAGUGAAUAUCUUUCAUAAUCUAAAUUCUGACUGCCUACUGCCAGCAAGGCUGAAACACUGCCUGAUUGUCCGAGGUUAGCAUGAGUUCAUACAGGGAAUACUUGGCUGUAUUUGUCCGAGAAGUGGCUUGGUUUUCGUGCUUAAUGCAGCACUGGCUUCGGCUUGGAAUUCUGGCCACUGCAGAUACAAAUUGCGCAGAAACAGCCUCCAAAGGAAAAGCGGUAUUUAUUUAUUUGAUUUCUCUCCCAUCCUUUCUUUCCAAAGACGCCCAGGGCAGCAAACAAUAAAGUAGUAAAAUAAAAACCCCACUAAAAUGCAGCUAAAAGAAAAGGAGCACGUUUCAAACCAUUAAGAACAUCUGAAAGCAGAGAAUAAAGACCUCCAUCAAAUUCUAAACUUUUAAAUUUCCUCUUCCUUUUUAGUGGCCUAGUAUCAGCGUGGCAGUGACUUUCUGAAGAUGAGGGGCGUUUCUCAGCUGCUCAGCUUGCACUGCUAUUUCCUUAUUCUUUGGGCAUAAAAUAUGCACUGUAGCAAUUUCACAACAAGAUCCAGCCGCGCAUCAUGCCGGCUCGCAAAUCAAACUGUGGCCCACAUGCAGCUGGCAUUUAACACAGAGGUGUGCGUGUACAAAAUCAGCGUUUGCAACAAAUUUUAGGCUGCACACCCAAACAUUUUCUCAGCAAUGAAGCAGAUUAACAGCGGGCUGCUCUACCCGUGAGUGUCAAGACUAAAAGCACUAAAAGAAGAGUAAACUAAAAGAGAGAGAGAGUAAAUUACCUCGCUUGAAAGCUUUGCCAACCAAGGUGGCAUAAUGGACAGAGUGUCUGUGGCAAGGGC
rnacentral:lncRNA from 1 species